rnacentral:rRNA from 1 species
GACGUAGGAGGCGAGCGUUAUCCGGAUUCACUGGGCGUAAAGCGCAUGUAGGCGGUUGCACAAGUCCGUUGUUAAAGCCCCUGGCUCAACUGGGGGAGGUCAAUGGAGACUGUGCGACUUGAGGGCAAUAGAGGCACGUGGAACUCCCGGUGUAGCGGUGGAAUGCGUAGAGAUCGGGAAGAACACCAGUGGCGAAGGCGACGUGCUGGGUUGCACCUGACGCUGAGAUGCGAAAGUGUGGGGGAGCAAACGGG